GUGCAUGUUUAUCAUUAGGCAUGCAACUACAAGUGUCAUUUCGACUGCAACCACAUAUCUUCAACAUGUCUGUAACUUAGUGGUGUUUUGUCAUCAAGAGGGCAGUUGCAUGUGAGGGAGUCCGGGACUAAGGGGUCCUUGUGCCGCUGACCUAUUUUUGUGGGCCGAACUCAUGGGCCGCCCUGUAAUUAUCAUUGUAGCCAGAAUUACAAGAGGACACCGUAUCCAGAGCAAAC
rnacentral:lncRNA from 1 species